rnacentral:lncRNA from 1 species
UUCAGGAAAAAUCAACUUUUAUAUUGUCUUUGUUUUAGUUUUAAAAAUUACUUCUUUUACUGUAGGAUAAUUUUUUUUAAAAAAAUUUUCUCCGUGGUGAAGUAAUUUUCUUUAAUUGGAAUACCAGAUGAAGCUAUAAAAGUGUUAUAUACAAUUAUUUUAAUUUUGUUAUCUUCUUAUUGAGAUUUUUUUUUAUCAUAUUCAUACACCAAGGUAAUUGAAAUUAAUUAUAUCUAUUAUUUGAUAUAAUGAUAUACACUUACCAAAAGCUUUAUCUUGUUAUUUUAUCUCUUAUUAGGGAGAAAAGAAGGAAUUAGAUAAGUUUAUUGAUUUAGUAAAGACUAAUUGAAAGAGGUUUUUUCAGUUGGUGCACUCAAUUAAGAUAUUUCUUGUUUGAAGUUAUUAUUUUAAAUAAUUAACUAUACUAAUCGAACGAGGUGGUAUUAGUCAAUUGUUUAAUGCUACUAGCUGUCAAUAUAUUGAUAACAUUGAGGGUGAUCGAUACACACACACACUCUCUCU